UACGUAGGGGGCAAGCGUUGUCCGGAAUCAUUGGGCGUAAAGCGCGUGUAGGCGGUUCGGUAAGUCUGCUGUGAAAGUCCAGGGCUCAACCCUGGGAUGCCGGUGGAUACUGUCGGACUAGAGUACGGAAGAGGCGAGUGGAAUUCCCGGUGUAGCGGGUGAAAUGCGCAGAUAUCGGGAGGAACACCAAUUGCGAAGGCAGCUCGCUGGGACGUUACUGACGCUGAGACGCGAAAGCGGUGGGGAGCAACAGG
rnacentral:rRNA from 1 species